rnacentral:tRNA from 1 species
GGCCUGGUGGCAGAAUGGUUAUGCAGAGGACUGCAAAUCCUUGUAAGCCGGUUCGAUUCCGACCCAGGCCUCCA